rnacentral:tRNA from 1 species
GGGGCUAUAGCUCAAUUAGGUAGAGUACUUGCAUGGCAUGCAAGUGGUUAGCGGUUCGAUUCCGCUUAGCUCCA